AACUAUGGCCCUACCACCCUGAAUGCGCCUGAUCUCGGAAGCUAAGCACGGACGGGCUUGGUUAGUACCUGGAUGGGAGACCGCCUGGGAAUACCAGGUGUUGUAGGCU
ensembl:rRNA 5S_rRNA 5S ribosomal RNA